GUAAAUUUAACAAAGAUACACGAACGGGAGGAAUUUUUGCCAAGUUUUUGCUCGAUCUCAUUCACGCUAAAAUCAUCAGCAGUGGUUUUCCUUCACACAUUACAACGACUAAAGAGAAGAUUCGCUACUGUCAGCAGUAUGAGGAUGAGCUUGGAAUUAUUUUUACGCCCGAAGAAGUCAGCUACAACCCUGGCUUACGGCACUCCAGCAAGAUCAGUGCCAACUGCGUUUGGGGACGGUAUGUCAUGAAGGAAAUUUAUCGGCAGAAUAAAUACUGCCACACAUACAAAGAUAUGAAGGACAUUGUCUUCAACAACCAGUACAUAACGAACGAUGUUCGCAUGGUUAACGAAGGAAAUUCGAUUGACGUUACGUUUCAAGAAAAAGCUGGAUGGGUAGCUCCAAACAAACGCACUAACCCAUACAUCGGUAAAUUCACGACUGAGCUUGCUCAACUCGAGUUACUUAAAGCGCUCAGAGCUGUGGAAGAUCGUCUGCUCUAUUGCG